GACCAACCAUCUCUCUUCCUCUCCCAAUUCUUCUUUCGCUCACCAUUUCUCCUCUAGCCGACGCCUCCAUCAGCAUCCCUCACGCCGUGUGACUCGACGGACGACGGUUGCACGUCGACGCAACCCAGUAACCGCCUUGCAUCUCUCCCUCGCGUGAUUGGAGCGCCUUGGCUUGCCGACGCUAGAUCCACCACCGUCGGCCGUACAUCUAAUUGGACGACAGCCACUCCUUGUGUGGUUUAACUCAUCGCUCAUUUCCGGCUAGACGCAGGUGUUCGAAGCCAUAGUUUUCGUUGGUAGUUUGAUCUUGGAGUUGGGCCAAAUUGAAGUGGAAAAAGCGUAUAACCCCGGGGGAUCGAGUUACUGACCGUGAGUGGUUUAUUUUUUAAGCUUUCUUUAUACAUAUAUACGUUAUCUCUUGACAUUGCUUGGAAACUACCAUGAUCUAAACCAUGACCACGUUUUCGUUAUUGUUUAAACAAUGAGUUUAUACAUUGAUAUUUCAAAAAUUUUCAUAACUCAAAGUUGAUAAAAACGAGUUUAAAGUCCUUGUUUCCAUUAAUACUUAAACGAUAUGUUUACUCAUUAUGAUUUUGAGAAUGUGUAUGCCUUGAUUUUUAUAAAAUCAUGUUUUAAGUUUUUAGUUUAUACUUUGUUUUGAAUUAUACUAAACCGAUGCUUAUGGUAAAUGUUGGUGAUUACCCCAAAGGCUACGUGAAUGUGUUUCCGUAGCGCCACCUACGGUUGUCAGGGGAUUCCGGGGCUAAAAGAGGCCGUGACCGGAGAUCUGAGAACCUGAGCCUAGGUGAGGACAUGGAUGGAGGAUUGUGAUAUGGCUUCAGGCCUAGCUUACCCCAUGGUUGGGUGGCUCUAUGUGCACAUAGGAGGGAUGUGUAGUUACUAUGGUAGGUGCUAAGUGUGCGUGAACUCCGUUUGGCCGCGUGUUUCCUUGUGGAUAUGGAGCACGUGUGAGCUAUUCCUGGGCCGUAUACUUAGUAUGCUAUCAUGGUUGGUUCGAUUGGUUGACGGUUGAUAUCAUGGUGGGUACUAUGGAUGCGUGAGCUAGUUUUGGCCGUAUGAUGCUUUAUCAUGUGCGAGCUAUUUUUGGCCGUAUCCUUAGAUGCCUUGCCAUGGUUGUACAGAUUUGUUGAUGGACUAAUGGGUAGUGAACAAAGGCCAAGCGUUGAUUGAUCUCUCGUCAUCAGUCGUAGAUCUCCAUUAUUCUUUUGUAUGUUUGUAGUUAUUUUUUUUUUGUAAUGCAUCAUGCUGACAGAUCGAUUGACUAAAAGUACACCACUAAAAUUUUCCUUAAGUAUGUUGCUCAUAUUGGCGUUAAUCAAUUUUCUAAUUCUAU